UCGAUAUAGAGAGAUCAAACCAGUUUAUUUAUAAUAUGGGCUCUUCGUGGCAUUAUUUACUUUAGCAGAGAGACAAAUGUAACCUGACAUGGCAUCACCCUUUCAAUGACCACAAAAGCAUAGCUGUGGAAAUAAAAAUGGAGAAGAAUUAUGUUAAUGUUAUAGCCCCAAAAGGAUCUCUGGUUGUUUUUGACUUAGGUUGGCUUAUAUGCAAAUCUUCUGCUAUAACAGGGGUUUCAACCUGUGGUAUGUGUACCGCUGAUGGUACUUGGGCUCUCCCUAGUGGUGCAGGGGAGGAAUUGGAUGAGGAAUUGGAUUCCUAUAUAGAUGAGAUGAGUGGCUUUUCUCACAGUUCCUACUGUGGCUCUGUAUGCUUUUGUGUUUAGCUACAACGUGGGCUAAUACUUUGAAGGAUAAAUUCUAUUCUUAAUAUUUUUCCUGAUCUUUUGCUGAACAGGUUAGGUCUGUUCUGCAGUAUUUUAUUGUUGGUCAUACAGGUAGUACUUGGAGAGCCAAAUGUUUUUUAAGGUGGUAUUAGGAAUACAAAGUUUGAGAAAUACUACCUUGUUACAGAUGCUGGUGUUGUCAUACACUCCUUCCUGGUUCUCACUGAAUAAUUCAGCUGUCAAUCACUUAUUAUCGUCAUCACUUAUUUUAUUAUAUUCAAAUAAAAGCAAAUAAUGCACAUCCCCAGAGUACCUGUAUAUAACCAUGUUUUCACCUAAAGUAACAACAAUAAGUACUUUCAGUAAAACACAUAACGACCUGUGGAUCACAUGACCCAGGAGUGAAUGCCUUUGGGGGAAAAAACCCUCCAAGAAUUAAAAUAGUCUGUAGACAUGUGUUUAAAAAGGCUUUGGGCAAAAAGAAACUUUUUUUUUUACAUUUUUUGCUGUUGAUGAGUGAAAACUAUUUGUAUUGCCACAGUGCAUUUGUGGUAAGCAGUAAGAUGAUGUCGAAAGUUGGAUCAGAAUCAGCGUAAUUUGACUGGUAGCCUUAACAUAGCCUAAACAAAGCAACUUGUAGACAUACUGUAUGUGUGUAGAUUUAAAAAAAAUGUUGGACCACAUUUCCCAGUCCUAGCCUGUAGCACUUGUUAAUUACUGGACAGUGUUUGUUAAGUGAAGCACUUUGUGAAAAGUUAUGCGGUGGCUGAAAAGCUCAUGUAAACACUGGUACUGAGGCUCCAUCCCCUGAGAACCACUAAGACCAUGUCAUCUAAAGCCUCUACGCUAAUAAAAGUAUGCAGCGUAAAACAGGACAACAACAUGUCCUGCUUUUAAAACUACAGCCAAAGCACACUCUUGGGCUGUUUUCCCCCCACUAAAAAUGCAGAGAAUCCACAAAUUUUAAUAACAUUCAGAUUAAAAUUAGUUAGUUCAACGACUGGCCUUAAAACAUCCACAUCUGCUCAUUGGCUGUGUGAGCUUCACACCUAGAUACCCAAUUAGCAAUUAAGCCUGCCUUUAAGUGCAGGCCUCCAAUGUAGUGUGUGUGAUCCUGCUCUGAUUUGCAUGCCGCUUGUGCACGCGCUGAUAAGCGCAGGCAGCAGCCAUACAUAGUUUUAAAAUUCAACUCCUGAAUCCCUUGCAGAAGGCAAAGGGGCCUGCAGGGCAGAAAGGAGAGAGAGAAAUCACAUGGCUGUGCUUCAAAAGGGGACCUGUGUAAGGCAGCCGGCAAAGUGCGUGGGAUCACACUCAGAAUGCAGGUUCAAGAGGAAGGUGGAGCUGAAGCUAGCAAUCAUCAGGCGAGCCAUCAGACAGUGAGAGAGUGUCGCAUGCCUUCCUCUUCCUGUACCACCCUCCAACCCCAGAGCCGAAGACUCAGGGCAGUUUCCAGAAUCAAACAAUUUCACGCAGCUACUGGAGGAGGAAAUGAACUGAGCCCAGAGCAAUAAUAAAAUUAUACAAAUGUUAUUACAGACUCGCCUGCUACUGUCCUACUUUAAUUCAAAUUUGGGCACUGCAGGCGCUGCUGGUGGCACAGACCUUCCUGAAUAAAUCAACAUUAGCUUACGUCUAAAUUAUUAAGGAAGUGGGAGACUUUCUUGUUUAUAGUAUGAAUUAUUAAACGUGUUGUUAAAGUGUUUAAACGCUGUUUUUCUUCACCAGUCCCCAAAUAUUAAUUGCUAAUGAUCUUUAAGGUGUGUGUUUUAUCGUUUUUUUUUCUCCCCCCCUUCUGUGGCAUGCUGGGAAUUGAGAUUUUGAGCUGUCAAGAUGUGAGGAAGAACCGGCUGUUGCAUAUUAGAUAAGUGGGAGAUUCACUGUGAGAUAUAAUCCUCUGGCAUCUGUAUGGUAUGCUAAUGAAGUCUGGGGUGUUACUGCGUCUCCAUCGCGUGGCUCCAUCACUGUUGUAACAUAAGGAGGAUAUGGAUGUAUAUGGAUGUAAAUUAUGGGAAAGGCUUUAAACGCUCGACAUCCUGCUGAUAGGCCUUUGGAGAUGUAAAGAAAAUGUCGGCCUAUUAGCUGCUGUCGCUUUACAUUAACUUUGCACUAACUGAGGUGUCUGCACCAGUUAUGGUGACAACCGGCAUCUAUG